UGAGGAAUAUUGGUCAAUGGACGCAAGUCUGAACCAGCCAAGUAGCGUGCAGGAUGACGGCCCUAUGGGUUGUAAACUGCUUUUAUAUGGGGAUAAAGUGGGGAACGUGUUCCCUUUUGCAGGUACCAUAUGAAUAAGGACCGGCUAAUUCCGUGCCAGCAGCCGCGGUAAUACGGAAGGUCCAGGCGUUAUCCGGAUUUAUUGGGUUUAAAGGGAGCGUAGGCUGUUUGUUAAGCGUGUUGUGAAAUGUAGGAGCUCAACUUUUAGAUUGCAGCGCGAACUGGCAGACUUGAGUGCGCACAACGUAGGCGGAAUUCAUGGUGUAGCGAUGAAAUGCUUAGAUGUCAUGACGAACUCCGAUUGCGAAGGCAGCUUACGGGAGCGCAACUGACGCUAAAGCUCGAAGGUGCGGGUAUCGAACAGG
rnacentral:rRNA from 1 species